rnacentral:rRNA from 1 species
AACGAACGCUGGCGGCAGGCCUAACACAUGCAAGUCGAGCGAACCCUUCGGGGUUAGCGGCGGACGGGUGAGUAACGCGUGGGAAUAUGCCCUUUGCUACGGAAUAGCCCCGGGAAACUGGGAGUAAUACCGUAUGUGCCCUUCGGGGGAAAGAUUUAUCGGCAAAGGAUUAGCCCGCGUUGGAUUAGGUAGUUGGUGGGGUAAUGGCCUACCAAGCCUACGAUCCAUAGCUGGUUUGAGAGGAUGAUCAGCCACACUGGGACUGAGACACGGCCCAGACUCCUACGGGAGGCAGCAGUGGGGAAUCUUAGACAAUGGGGGCAACCCUGAUCUAGCCAUGCCGCGUGAUCGAUGAAGGCCUUAGGGUUGUAAAGAUCUUUCAGCUGGGAAGAUAAUGACGGUACCAGCAGAAGAAGCCCCGGCUAACUCCGUGCCAGCCGCCGCCGUAACAC